rnacentral:rRNA from 1 species
UACAGAGGGUGCAAGCGUUGUUCGGAAUCAUUGGGCGUAAAGGGCGUGUAGGCGGUCUGUUAAGUCUGAUGUGAAAGCCCACGGCUCAACCGUGGAGGGUCAUUGGAAACUGGGGGACUUGAGUGCAGGAGAGAAGAGUGGAAUUCCACGUGUAGCGGUGAAAUGCGUAGAGAUGUGGAGGAACACCAGUGGCGAAGGCGACUCUUUGGCCUGUAACUGACGCUGAGGCGCGAAAGCGUGGGGAGCAAACAGG